GGGCCCGCACAAGCGGCGGAGCAUGCGGCUUAAUUCGAUGAUACCCGUAGAACCUUACCUGGACUUGACAUAUAGGGUCAAGCUAUAGAGAUAUAGUGUGCAUUAGCGCCCUAUACAGGUGGUGCAUGGCUGUCGUCAGCUCGUGUCGUGAGAUGUUGGGUUAAGUCCCGCAACGAGCGCAACCCUUGUCCCUAGUUGCCAGCGAGUUAUGUCGGGGACUCUAGGGAGACUGCCGGUGUUAAACCGGAGGAAGGUGGGGAUGACGUCAAGUCCUCAUGGCCUUUAUGACCAGGGCUGCACACGUCCUACAAUGGCGCGUACAAAGGGAAGCGAACUCGCGAGAGCAAGCAAAUCCCAAAAAGUGCGCCUUAGUUCGGAUUGCAGGCUGAAACCCGCCUGCAUGAAGUUGGAAUCGCUAGUAA
rnacentral:rRNA from 1 species